UAUCAUUUCACUUCAUAUCACAACAAAUGAAAUCAGAAAUGAAGCGUUCAAUUCCCGCAGCUCUUCUCCUUAUGCUUAUCAUCUGUUCAUUUAUUUGCGCAGAAAGCCAAAAUAUGAAGGUGGGAGGUAGAUGUGACGAAGAACUCCCUUCAAAUGGAGAAUUGUGUAAUGAAUAUAAAUGUCAAAUGGAUUGUCGAAGACAACGUGGAUUAAGUGGCACAGGACGUUGUAAUACGAUAAGACAAGUUUGUGGGUGUCGAUACAAUUGUUGAAUGAAUAAAAACGUGCGUAUAUAAUAUCCUUAAAAUGUUAUAAAGGGAUAUUGUUACCAAAGCCACUUUUUAUUACAUUUCAUUCUAAUAAAAUUGAUCUUGUUAAGUUGUGCCCUAA